rnacentral:rRNA from 1 species
GGGUGACAGCCCCGUACACAAAAAUGCACAUAUUGUGAGCUCGAUGAGUAGGGCGGGACACGUGGUAUCCUGUCUGAAUAUGGGGGGACCAUCCUCCAAGGCUAAAUACUCCUGACUGACCGAUAGUGAACCAGUACCGUGAGGGAAAGGCGAAAAGAACCCCGGCGAGGGGAGUGAAAAAGAACCUGAAACCGUGUACGUACAAGCAGUGGGAGCCUCUUAAUGGGGUGACUGCGUACCUUUUGUAUAAUGGGUCAGCGACUUAUAUUCUGUAGCAAGGUUAACCGAAUAGGGGAGCCGAAGGGAAACCGAGUCUUAACUGGGCGUUAAGUUGCAGGGUAUAGACCCGAAACCCGGUGAUCUAGCCAUGGGCAGGUUGAAGGUUGGGUAACACUAACUGGAGGACCGAACCGACUAAUGUUGAAAAAUUAGCGGAUGACUUGUGGCUGGGGGUGAAAGGCCAAUCAAACCGGGAGAUAGCUGGUUCUCCCCGAAAGCUAUUUAGGUAGCGCCUCGUGAAUUCAUCUCCGGGGGUAGAGCACUGUUUCGGCAAGGGGGUCAUCCCGACUUACCAACCCGAUGCAAACUGCGAAUACCGGAGAAUGUUAUCACGGGAGACACACGGCGGGUGCUAACGUCCGUCGUGAAGAGGGAAACAACCCAGACCGCCAGCUAAGGUCCCAAAGUCAUGGUUAAGUGGGAAACGAUGUGGGAAGGCCCAGACAGCCAGGAUGUUGGCUUAGAAGCAGCCAUCAUUUAAAGAAAGCGUAAUAGCUCACUGGUCGAGUCGGCCUGCGCGGAAGAUGUAACGGGGCUAAACCAUGCACCGAAGCUGCGGCAGCGACACUAUGUGUUGUUGGGUAGGGGAGCGUUCUGUAAGCCUGUGAAGGUGUACUGUGAGGUAUGCUGGAGGUAUCAGAAGUGCGAAUGCUGACAUAAGUAACGAUAAAGCGGGUGAAAAGCCCGCUCGCCGGAAGACCAAGGGUUCCUGUCCAACGUUAAUCGGGGCAGGGUGAGUCGACCCCUAAGGCGAGGCCGAAAGGCGUAGUCGAUGGGAAACAGGUUAAUAUUCCUGUACUUGGUGUUACUGCGAAGGGGGGACGGAGAAGGCUAUGUUGGCCGGGCGACGGUUGUCCCGGUUUAAGCGUGUAGGCUGGUUUUCCAGGCAAAUCCGGAAAAUCAAGGCUGAGGCGUGAUGACGAGGCACUACGGUGCUGAAGCGACAAAUGCCCUGCUUCCAGGAAAAGCCUCUAAGCAUCAGGUAACAUCAAAUCGUACCCCAAACCGACACAGGUGGUCAGGUAGAGAAUACCAAGGCGCUUGAGAGAACUCGGGUGAAGGAACUAGGCAAAAUGGUGCCGUAACUUCGGGAGAAGGCACGCUGAUAUGUAGGUGAAGCGACUUGCUCGUGGAGCUGAAAUCAGUCGAAGAUACCAGCUGGCUGCAACUGUUUAUUAAAAACACAGCACUGUGCAAACACGAAAGUGGACGUAUACGGUGUGACGCCUGCCCGGUGCCGGAAGGUUAAUUGAUGGGGUUAGCGGUAACGCGAAGCUCUUGAUCGAAGCCCCGGUAAACGGCGGCCGUAACUAUAACGGUCCUAAGGUAGCGAAAUUCCUUGUCGGGUAAGUUCCGACCUGCACGAAUGGCGUAAUGAUGGCCAGGCUGUCUCCACCCGAGACUCAGUGAAAUUGAACUCGCUGUGAAGAUGCAGUGUACCCGCGGCAAGACGGAAAGACCCCGUGAACCUUUACUAUAGCUUGACACUGAACAUUGAGCCUUGAUGUGUAGGAUAGGUGGGAGGCUUUGAAGUGUGGACGCCAGUCUGCAUGGAGCCGACCUUGAAAUACCACCCUUUAAUGUUUGAUGUUCUAACGUGGGCCCCUUACCGGGGUUGCGGACAGUGUCUGGUGGGUAGUUUGACUGGGGCGGUCUCCUCCUAAAGAGUAACGGAGGAGCACGAAGGUUGGCUAAUCCUGGUCGGACAUCAGGAGGUUAGUGCAAUGGCAUAAGCCAGCUUGACUGCGAGCGUGACGGCGCGAGCAGGUGCGAAAGCAGGUCAUAGUGAUCCGGUGGUUCUGAAUGGAAGGGCCAUCGCUCAACGGAUAAAAGGUACUCCGGGGAUAACAGGCUGAUACCGCCCAAGAGUUCAUAUCGACGGCGGUGUUUGGCACCUCGAUGUCGGCUCAUCACAUCCUGGGGCUGAAGUAGGUCCCAAGGGUAUGGCUGUUCGCCAUUUAAAGUGGUACGCGAGCUGGGUUUAGAACGUCGUGAGACAGUUCGGUCCCUAUCUGCCGUGGGCGCUGGAGAACUGAGGGGGGCUGCUCCUAGUACGAGAGGACCGGAGUGGACGCAUCACUGGUGUUCGGGUUGUCAUGCCAAUGGCACUGCCCGGUAGCUAAAUGCGGAAGAGAUAAGUGCUGAAAGCAUCUAAGCACGAAACUUGCCCCGAGAUGAGUUCUCCCUGACUCCUUGAGAGUCCUGAAGGAACGUUGAAGACGACGACGUUGAUAGGCCGGGUGUGUAAGCGCAGCGAUGCGUUGAGCUAACCGGUACUAAUGAACCGUGAGGCUUAACCUUACAACGCCGAAG